rnacentral:rRNA from 1 species
GACGUAGGGGGCGAGCGUUGUCCGGAUUUAUUGGGCGUAAAGCGCGCGUAGGCGGUCCGUUAAGUCGGUUGUGAAAACCCGGGGCUCAACCCCGGGCCUGCAUUCGAUACUGACGGGCUAGAGGCAGGUAGGGGGAAGUGGAAUUCCUGGUGUAGCGGUGAAAUGCGCAGAUAUCAGGAGGAACACCGGUGGCGAAGGCGGCUUCCUGGACCUGUCCUGACGCUCAGGCGCGAAAGCUAGGGGAGCAAACAGG